UACGUAGGGGGCAAGCGCUGUCCGGAAUCCUUGGGCGUAAAGAGCGCGUAGGCGGCCCUGUAAGUCCGCUGUGAAAGUCAAGGGCUCAACCCUUGGAUGCCGGUGGAUACUGCAGGGCUAGAGUCCGGAAGAGGCGAGUGGAAUUCCUGGUGUAGCGGUGAAAUGCGCAGAUAUCAGGAGGAACACCGAUGGCGGAGGCAGCUCGCUGGGACGGUACUGACGCUGAGGCGCGAAAGCGUGGGGAGCGAACAGG
rnacentral:rRNA from 1 species